rnacentral:rRNA from 1 species
GACGAGGCACUACGGUGCUGAAGCAACAAAUGCCCUGCUUCCAGGAAAAGCCUCUAAGCAUCAGGUAACAUCAAAUCGUACCCCAAACCGACACAGGUGGUCAGGUAGAGAAUACCAAGGCGCUUGAGAGAACUCGGGUGAAGGAACUAGGCAAAAUGGUGCCGUAACUUCGGGAGAAGGCACGCUGACACGUAGGUGAAGUGAUUUACUCAUGGAGCUGAAGUCAGUCGAAGAUACCAGCUGGCUGCAACUGUUUAUUAAAAACACAGCACUGUGCAAACACGAAAGUGGACGUAUACGGUGUGACGCCUGCCCGGUGCCGGAAGGUUAAUUGAUGGGGUCAGCGCAAGCGAAGCUCCUGAUCGAAGCCCCGGUAAACGGCGGCCGUAACUAUAACGGUCCUAAGGUAGCGAAAUUCCUUGUCGGGUAAGUUCCGACCUGCACGAAUGGCGUAAUGAUGGCCAGGCUGUCUCCACCCGAGACUCAGUGAAAUUGAACUCGCUGUGAAGAUGCAGUGUACCCGCGGCAAGACGGAAAGACCCCGUGAACCUUUACUAUAGCUUGACACUGAACAUUGAGCCUUGAUGUGUAGGAUAGGUGGGAGGCUUUGAAGUGUGGACGCCAGUCUGCAUGGAGCCGACCUUGAAAUACCACCCUUUAAUGUUUGAUGUUCUAACGUGGACCCGUAAUCCGGGUUGCGGACAGUGUCUGGUGGGUAGUUUGACUGGGGCGGUCUCCUCCUAAAGAGUAACGGAGGAGCACGAAGGUUGGCUAAUCCUGGUCGGACAUCAGGAGGUUAGUGCAAUGGCAUAAGCCAGCUUGACUGCGAGCGUGACGGCGCGAGCAGGUGCGAAAGCAGGUCAUAGUGAUCCGGUGGUUCUGAAUGGAAGGGCCAUCGCUCAACGGAUAAAAGGUACUCCGGGGAUAACAGGCUGAUACCGCCCAAGAGUUCAUAUCGACGGCGGUGUUUGGCACCUCGAUGUCGGCUCAUCACAUCCUGGGGCUGAAGUAGGUCCCAAGGGUAUGGCUGUUCGCCAUUUAAAGUGGUACGCGAGCUGGGUUUAGAACGUCGUGAGACAGUUCGGUCCCUAUCUGCCGUGGGCGCUGGAGAACUGAGGGGGGCUGCUCCUAGUACGAGAGGACCGGAGUGGACGCAUCACUGGUGUUCGGGUUGUCAUGCCAAUGGCACUGCCCGGUAGCUAAAUGCGGAAGAGAUAAGUGCUGAAAGCAUCUAAGCACGAAACUUGCCCCGAGAUGAGUUCUCCCUGAGACUUAGAGUCUCCUGAAGGAACGUUGAAGACGACGACGUUGAUAGGCCGGGUGUGUAAGCGCAGCGAUGCGUUGAGCUAACCGGUACUAAUGAACCGUGAGGCUUAACCUUACAACGCC